rnacentral:rRNA from 1 species
AAAGUAAUAUAGUCUAAAUAAGUAUUAUGUAAUAAAUAUGUAAGAAAAUAGGAUAACAAAUUGUAAGACUAAAUACUAUUAAUAAGUAUAAAAAGUACCGUAAGGGAAAGUAUAAAAAUGAUUAUUUUAUAAGCAAUCAUAAAUAUAUUAAUUAUAUUAAUGAUGUACCUUUUGUAUAAUGGGUCAGCAAGUAAUUAAUAUUAGUAAAACUAAUAAGUUAUAAAUAAAUAGAUAAAAAUAAUAUAUAUAUAAAAAUAUAUAAAUAAUACAUAUAAAAAAAAAUAAUAUGUAAUAUUUAAUUAAUAUUAAUUGACCCGAAAGCAAACGAUCUAACUAUGAUAAGAUGGGUAAACGAUCGAACAGGUUGAUGUUGCAAUAUCAUCUGAUUAAUUGUGGUUAGUAGUGAAAGACAAAUCUGGUUUGCAGAUAGCUGGUUUUCUAUGAAAUAUAUGUAAGUAUAGCCUUUAUAAAUAAUAAUUAUUAUAUAAUAUAUUAUUUAAUAUAUUAUAUAAAGAACGGUACAGCAAUUAAUAUAUAUUGGGGAACUAUUAAAGUUUUAUUAAUAAUAUUAAAUCUCGAAAUGUUUAAUUAUCCCCGCGACACAAACCCAGCUUAGCUGUUUGGUACCUCGGGGAAUAUAUAAUAAAGAGUCAGAUUAUGUGCGAUAAGGUAAAUAAUCUAAAGGGAAACAGCCCAGAUUAAGAUAUAAAGUUCCUAAUAAAUAAUAAGUGAAAUAAAUAUU